rnacentral:rRNA from 1 species
UACGUAGGCAGCAAGCGUUGUUCGGAGUUACUGGGCGUAAAGGGUGCGUAGGCGGCUUUUUAAGUUUGGUGUGAAAUCUCCCGGCUCAACUGGGAGGGUGCGCCGAAUACUGAGAGGCUAGAGUGUGGGAGAGGAAAGUGGAAUUCCUGGUGUAGCGGUGAAAUGCGUAGAUAUCGGGAGGAACACCGGUGGUGUAAACGGCUUUCUGGACCAUAACUGACGCUGAGGCACGAAAGCGUGGGUAGCAAACAGG